AAACAAAACCUAACAAAACCUAACUUCUCUCCACUUCGUAGCAUUUUGGACUACCCUGGGCGAACGUCAGCCUCCCGAAUCUUCCUUUCUGGCUCAUAAAAUUUUUUUGAAUCAGUCGGCUUUUCUUCUUCUCUCCUGAGCUUCGAAUCGGGUAACAUUUUUCCAUUCCAUUUUUGAAGCAAUCGGCUAAUCUCUCCACUUCGUAGCAUCUCUUUUCUCCUGCCUUUUUAAUUUUAUGCCAACUGAAGCAUUUCUUCUCUCCUAACAAAUUUCUCCACUUCGUAGCAUUUUCCCCUGCCAUGGGUGAACCUCAACUUAUAAAGCUGCUUUUAUGUCAGUGAAAAUGGAAGGUGUGCCUACAUAGUGUGAAGUGGGGUGCCAGGAUGCAACAGGCUAGAGAUUGACACUAUCGUGUGUUCUUAGUGGGAUCACCAUGGAAAUUCCUCAUCUUCAAGAAAGCAGACAUUCUUUGUCUUCGUAUUUUCUUGCCCCAGUGAAUAUACAGUGGUUGCUGCUGCAUUGAUAGAUAAUGCUAAUGACAUCCUCAGGGCUCGAGCACGGACUGAUUCCCUUGAUGAGCGAAUUUUCUGUUGGGGACCUCCAUAUAAUGGCUGUUUUUCUGAGAAAUGUAUGACCUAAGUCUGUGUAUUGGUUUGUAAAUCGAUGUCUAGAACAUUUUCCAUCCUUUUUUUUUUUUUUUUUUGGUUCUUGUCAGAGUUUUCUUUAGAACUUAAUCAUGAAUAAAUCGCCACUUUUUGCACGUAAAAGAAAUUGAUUGUUAGAUAAUAUUAUUGUUCCAAAACCAAAUUAUCAGGAACUGUGCAAAAAUCAAUGUGACUCAUGUUGAACA